rnacentral:siRNA from 1 species
AAACCAAUGAUACGAACAGAUGC